CGAUGUCAACUAGCUGUUGGGGCCUUCGGGCCUUGGUAGCGCAGCUAACGCGUGAAGUUGACCGCCUGGGGAGUACGGUCGCAAGAUUAAAACUCAAAGGAAUUGACGGGGACCCGCACAAGCGGUGGAUGAUGUGGAUUAAUUCGAUGCAACGCGAAAAACCUUACCUACCCUUGACAUGUCUGGAAUGCCGAAGAGAUUUGGCAGUGCUCGCAAGAGAACUGGAACACAGGUGCUGCAUGGCUGUCGUCAGCUCGUGUCGUGAGAUGUUGGGUUAAGUCCCGCAACGAGCGCAACCCUUGUCAUUAGUUGCUACGAAAGGGCACUCUAAUGAGACUGCCGGUGACAAACCGGAGGAAGGUGGGGAUGACGUCAAGUCCUCAUGGCCCUUAUGGGUAGGGCUUCACACGUCAUACAAUGGUCGGGACAGAGGGUCGCCAACCCGCGAGGGGGAGCCAAUCCCAGAAACCCGAUCGUAGUCCGGAUCGCAGUCUGCAACUCGACUGCGUGAAGUCGGAAUCGCUAGUAAUCGCGGAUCAGCAUGUCGCGGUGAAUACGUUCCCGGGUCUUGUACACACCGCCCGUCACACCAUGGGAGUGGGUUUUACCAGAAGUAGUUAGCCUAACCGCAAGGGGGGCGAUUACCACGGUAGGAUUCAUGACUGGGGUGAAGUCGUAACAAGGUAACCAAU
rnacentral:rRNA from 1 species